rnacentral:rRNA from 1 species
GACGAACGCUGGCGGCGUGCUUAACACAUGCAAGUCGAACGGUAAGGCCCUUCGGGGUACACGAGUGGCGAACGGGUGAGUAACACGUGGGUGAUCUGCCCUGCACUUCGGGAUAAGCCUGGGAAACUGGGUCUAAUACCGGAUAGGACUCCGGACUGCAUGGUCUGGGGUGGAAAGCUUUUGCGGGGUGGGAUGGGCCCGCGGCCUAUCAGCUUGUUGGUGGGGUGAUGGCCUACCAAGGCGACGACGGGUAGCCGGCCUGAGAGGGUGACCGGCCACACUGGGACUGAGAUACGGCCCAGACUCCUACGGGAGGCAGCAGUGGGGAAUAUUGCACAAUGGGCGCAAGCCUGAUGCAGCGACGCCGCGUGAGGGGUGACGGCCUUCGGGUUGUAAACCUCUUUCAGCAUCGACGAAGCGAAAGUGACGGUAGGUGCAGAAGAAGGACCGGCCAACUACGUGCCAGCAGCCGCGGUAA